AUGUGAUACUUUCACAUCUUUUUUAUCCCCAUUUUCGAUAAGAAGUUGCGCACAAGAAUGGUUCAUUAGGGAAUUCCCUGCAAAGGAUGUCGAACAUGAAGAGGAAACAACUGCUAUAUGGAAAGCUUAUCUGACUCCUACUCUUCUCUCUAGUAGGAUAUUAGCCACUAACUCGACAAAUUAUUAUGGGUUAUAUGGUUAUCAACCAAAUUUAGUGGCUAGACAAUUUGGUUUGGUACAAACUCGUCCUAGCUCACUUUAUAAAUCCAAAGAAGACUUGAAGAAACCUAAGGGUGAAAUUAUGUGGCGAUCUCUCCUUCAAAAAGUUGAUGAACAUAUUCCAACUCUUAAGCCUGCCCCCUUUGAACUUUCAUAUGAAUGUACUAAAAUCUUUUUUAGAUGGUGGUGGUGAUACUUUGUCGAGAAGAGCAAAGGAGUAAAUCCAAACACUUUGCUUCCUGAACUAAUUUCUGCUUUUCAUUAUGUGCAGAAAAAAUCGAAGAAACCAAAAGGUACACAUAUUCGAGAAAUCCAAGCUUUUCAAAAGUACUUCAAACUAUAUAUGAUCGUCUGAACCUUAGUCGGACUGUUUAUUAUGCUGCCAAAACUUUAAAGGAAAAACUUUUAGAAAAAAUUCCAACAUCAAAAUUUCCUCCUUUUGUUACCGAUAAAUAUCUUUUUGCUUUAUACUUUAAAAUUAAAUUUCCACCAUUGCCAUCUAGUGAACUAGCACUAGCACUCAGACCACCAUAUCCAAAAUGAUUUGUGUGUGGCUCUUGGAUGGCAAUGAAACAAAACCUUAUCAAGAAGAAAGCAAAGCAAAUUACUACGACUAAGCAUGACAUAUACAAGUUUAGAGGUCAAUUAUAUUUUGGCCUACAUCAGGUUCGAAUCACAUUUCCUAUAGGAAUAGGUAAGAGCUUUUCACUAACUCUUCAGGAUAACAAUUAUCAUUUUUAUUUAACACAAAAAAUUACCUGUUUCUUUGAAUGUUUUAAGCUUUACCUUUACAAUCAGUGCAAAAAGCUGACACAUGAGUAGAGGGAACAUUGAAGUCGAAGCCUAGCAAUUUCUCAAAGAAAGGCAAAAUAUCCGAGUCAGAGAAAAAAGAAUCUGAUGUUUCACCUAAAGCUACCAAGGCCCCUGAGAUUCAGAUUGAGAAUUAGAAAAAGAGAAAACAUGCUCAAGAAAAAUCUAGGGACACUAGUGAGUGGAAUUCUGUCGAAAAUUCUCAAGACGAUCCAAACGUUGGUAAAAACACAACUAAUGAAGAGACAUCCGUGAAGGUUGCAAGGAAGAAAAUUAGAGGUCGCAAGGAUGAAAAACCAGCCAAUGCACACUCUUGUGUAGAAGAUAACGUGUCGAAGAGUGUUGAGGUUACCAAUGCUGAAACGGGCAAAUAAACGACUCCUCCUUCCACUUUCAAUCAAUCGAUUGAGCCUAUUUUCGAAGACAAUAUAGUGGUCAAGUCUAGCCCUCCAAAAAAUGAUGAAGAUCCAGAACGAACCCUUUCUGAUCAUUCUCAAGAUUCAAAUGCCAGAAGUAUUGAAGAUGAUCAGCAUCACACUGAUGAGGAAGACGAAGGGGGUCCAUCUCUAGUCGAAAGUGGGAAAGGCAACACCACUCAUGGGUCAAUCUCUGAUGAUGAUGAGGAGCAAACUGACACCAAUGUGGAUGGAUGGUCACAAAAAAGAUGUCGAAGAGUCUGAAGAUGAAUCUGAACAAGAAUCCCCAAAACCCAUGGUUUUAAAAUGUUAAUAAAAGUGGAAAAUAAAAAGAAGAUUUUAUUUAUAAAAGUGGUUUUAAGAAGUUUGAAUGUGUGAUGAAGUUGAACAAGAAAAUAAUGGAAAGCAAUUUGGCACCUGUGAUUUUGUUGACCACCA